AAGGAAGUGGCAGAGUGGUUAUGCAGCUGGCUUGAAACUGGUUUAUGGGGGUUCAAUUCCUUCCUUCCUCG
rnacentral:tRNA from 1 species